UGCCUGGCUGUAGCAUCUCGCUGCUUUUUCAUAUCAUCAUGGAGGAGGCUCAGGGGAGACAUUAUUGCUAUCUACAACUCCCUGAAAUGAGGUUGUGGUGAGUUGGUGGUUAUCCCCCCAGGUAACAGUGAUAGGACAAGAGGGAGUGGCCCUCAAGUUGCAUCUGGGGAGGUUCAGGUUGGAUAUUAGGAAAAAUUUCUUCUCAGAAAGAGUGGAUGAGCACUGGAGCAGGCUGCCCAGGAAGGGGGUGGAGUUACUGUUGCUGGAACCAUUAAAGAAAGGUUUAGAUGUGGUACUUAGGGACACGGGUUGGUGGCAAUAUUUGUGGUAGGUGGAUGAUUGGUCUACUGGAUGAUCUUAGAGGUCUUUUUGAACCUUAAUGAUUCUAUUUGAGUUGAUAUGCCUUAGUGACCAGAACACUUUUACGUGCUCCCUAAGCCCUGACAGACUUCAUCGGGUACUGAUGAUGGUUGGAGAAGACUGAAUGUUCAGCAACACUGUGUUCGUCGGAGUACUUUGCUAGGUGUGCUUUCAAAAACUUCAUCUGCUCUAUGUUCUUUCCACAAUUCCUUCCUCACAACCAUCUCUUUCAGUGCCCAGUUUGAAUUUAUCACCAUAGCAGAAGGCAGUGGGCAGGUGCUGUGUGCAGCCUGUGGGACCUCGGUUAAGGUAAGGAGGAACUGAAGUUCACGUGGUGGCAGGAGCACCAGACAGAGGACAUCUGGAGCCUGUAUUCAAGGAAGGAGGUGUUUAUUGCUAUUUCGGCAGGAGGUCGUUGCUACAGCGCUUGUCCCGUUCCCGCCUCCCCCUGCCGGUGGUGCCCGGCGAGGGCUGCUGGGAAGGCGGUACCAACAUGGCGGCCGGCGGUGAAGGGGCAGCGGAGGCGUGCGCGGGGCUGGGCGGGCUGGUUCUGCUCGGCGCCGUACCCGGCGCUCCGUGCUGCCCGCAUGGUCCCGCUCUCCUGUUCGUAAAGACCAGCCGAGGAAAAGAGGAGGGGAGAAGAUUCUAUGCUUGUUCGGCUUGUAGGGACAGAAAAGAUUGUAACUUCUUCCAGUGGGAGGAUGAGAAGAUAUCACAAACGAGGCUUGCAACACGUGAAGAAUAUAAUAGAAGUCAUCAGCCGCCUUGUACUCACAGACAGAAUGUGGAAAGAUACAAGAAUUUUGUUCUGUUGCCUUUAUCAAAGAGGAGAUUUUGUCAGGAAUGCCAGCAAUUGCUAUUGCCAGCUGAAUGGGAAAAACACUCAAGUCACCACUUCCUCUAUGAUAUCUCCACUGCCCAGUUAAGAAGUCCCAGUCAACUUCUGUAUCCACUAGAAAAUAAAAAAACAAAUGCACAGUAUUUAUUUGCAGACAGAAGUUGCCAGUUUCUACUGGACCUUAUUAUUUCACUAGGAUUCAGACGAGUGCUAUCUGUUGGAACGCCUAGGCUUCAUGAAAUGAUCCAGUCAAAAGCAUCACAAGAAGAAGACUUCAGGGUUACAAGCCUUCUGCUAGAUAUUGACUUCAGGUAUUCACAAUUUUACACAGAGGAUGAAUUCUGCCACUACAACAUGUUUAAUCAUUAUUUUUUUGGUGGAGAGGCUGCCCAUGAAACUUGUAGGAAAUUCUUACAUCAAGACAAAGAUGAAAGAGUAAUUAUGGUGACUGAUCCCCCAUUUGGAGGUUUAGUGGAAGCACUGGCUUCUAGUUUUAAAAAACUGAUGGCAAUGUGGAAGGAUACAGAGAAAGGAGGUAAUAAGAACCAAGAGAUGCCCAUGAUCUGGAUAUUUCCAUACUUCUUUGAGUCGCGUAUCCUUGAAUUUUUCCCAAGCUUCAGCAUGAUGGAUUAUCAGAUUAUGAUAAUCAUGCACUAUAUAAACAUGGUAAAACAGGUCGCAGACAGUCCCCUGUCCGUAUCUUCACAAACCUGUCCCCAAGUAUGAUUGUACUUCCUGCAGAAGAGGGCUAUAGGUUUUGCGCUAUCUGUCAGCGGUAUGUUAGUUCUGGCAACCACCACUGUGAAAUAUGCAAUUCAUGUACAUCAAAAGACGGUAGACGAUGGAAACAUUGUGUUCUUUGCAAAAGAUGUGUAAAACCCU